rnacentral:rRNA from 1 species
AUUGAACGCUGGCGGCAUGCCUUACACAUGCAAGUCGAACGGCAGCGGACCUUCGGGUGCCGGCGAGUGGCGAACGGGUGAGUAAUAUAUCGGAACGUACCUUUCAGUGGGGGAGUAACGUAGCGAAAGUUAACGCUAAUACCGCAUAUUCUGUGAGCAGGAAAGCAGGGGAGUCGCAAGACCUUGCGCUGAUUGAGCGGCCGAUAUCAGAUUAGCUAGUUGGUGAGGCAAAGGCUCACCAAGGCGACGAUCUGUAGCGGGUCUGAGAGGAUGAUCCGCCACACUGGAACUGAGACACGGUCCAGACUCCUACGGGAGGCAGCAGUGGGGAA